rnacentral:misc_RNA from 1 species
CUUGCAACCCGACUUGAACGGAGCUCAUUUUUGUAGCUGGAAAAGCGAUGGCAAAAUAGCGGGAGUGGAAGGCGGAAUAGUUG